CUGCUGACGUCAAUCUGGGGCACAUUUUAGCCUCCUGUGCUUUGCGUUUAGGAAGCUGAAGCCCAUUACCUAUAAUUGGUUCCACCUACAUGUAAUUUGUCGAGGAGAGAAAGCAACAAGAUGCAGAUUCUCCCUAGGAUCAUGGGCACGAGGUGUGUUCCUGAUGGCCUUGCAGCUCUCCUACAGAGAGGCUUUGGGUUGAGCUCUUCUGGCUUGGAGGACCUUUCCAGCACGUGUGUAUUUGUUCUCAGAUGGAACAGAAAGGAAAUAAAACCUCAAUACCAAAACCUCCUACAAGCUGCCAACAUCCAUUUUGACCAGCCCAGCAACCACCAAAGCACAGGAAAAGGCUGUUACGGUGGAUUUGUCGGGGGAAGAGUGUCACGUUUGGAAUUAUCGCUGCGGAGAGCUGUGCUAACAACGGUGCUUGGGCUUUUAGUGCCCAAUUAGUAGCGUGCUGCAACUGCACCUCCCCUCAUUACUUGCUAUCAUUUCAUUCUGCAAAGAGUUAGCACAAUGUUUAUAAAGCCCUUCCUCCACUGAAUACCGGUGCGUCCAACUGGAUCGAGGUUCGGGCCAUGCCAGCCCACUCCUGUGUUCCUGCUGGGCAAGGCAAAACAAUAAAUUGGCAACACACUGCACGGAGCUGGGGACUGGGUGGAAAUCACCACCAUCACUAAAGGAGGAGAAAACUAAAGGAAUUAGAAAUAAUAUCAAAUGGGUAUCAUCACAAAAUUAAAAAAUGUAGUUUCCAUCACUGCAAUGGGGAAUGCAACACCAGUUAGGAGCUCGACAGUCAUGAGUGCCUCCUUUAUGCGUGUCUGACAGCCUCCAAGUGUAAUGACUGCUGUGAUUGCCCUUACACAGCUUAUAAUAGGGCUCCAGCUCUCCUUGGCUUGUCCUGCAUAAACAGAUGAUAAUAACCUGGUUCACACCAUGAUUUAAGGACAAACAAUUACUCACGGGGAGGUAUAAACAGAUGAGAGAGGUAAAAUUUAAAAUUAGAGAUUUAGAGAAUUAUGGUACUAUCGGAUGUAUCAGUACAUCUGAUGCCCCUGAAUUUAUUGGCCUUACUUAGGGAUCAUUUUACAGGUGAGUUUCAAGGAUAAUUUUGCUUUGGAAGAAGAUAAUGAUGCACCUUGCUGAUGCAUUUGGUUUACAAAUGACUAAUUUUUAAGCAGAGCACUCAGAGUAUGCAUAAAUGGAGAUGAAGGAGAAGGCAUCAUGACUUUGUUAGGGAGAUUAAGCUGAUGUUGCUGUCCAGGCCAGAAAGCAGAUAGAGGUGAGGGGAAAGGAAAGUCCUGAAGCUACAGCAAGUGAAUUUGUGUAGCACAAUAAUAACAGUGUGGAGGAGAGGGGUUUGCAGGAGUGGCAGCAUCCCCUCUGGCAGGCAAUGCUGCAGGGUCACCCCACCUUGCCCAGCCCAGCUCGUCUGUGAACCCGUGGCUACCAAA